rnacentral:misc_RNA from 1 species
UUUCCGUAGGUGAACCUGCGGAAGGAUCAUUACUGAGUUAGGGUCUUUAUGGCCCGACCUCCAACCCUUUGUUUAAUCUACCAUGUUGCUUUGGCAGGCCCGCUUAGAAAUGGGCCGCCGGAGACCUUUGAGUCUCUGGUCAGUGCCUGCCAGUAGCCUUUCUAAAUUCAUUCAUAACCGUGUCUGAAUAUACAAAGAAAAAUUAAAAUAAAACUUUCAACAACGGAUCUCUUGGUUCUG